GAUGAACGCUGGCGGCGUGCCUAAUACAUGCAAGUCGAGCGAACGGACGAGAAGCUUGCUUCUCUGAUGUUAGCGGCGGACGGGUGAGUAACACGUGGAUAACCUACCUAUAAGACUGGGAUAACUUCGGGAAACCGGAGCUAAUACCGGAUAAUAUUUUGAACCGCAUGGUUCAAAAGUGAAAGACGGUCUUGCUGUCACUUAUAGCUGGAUCCGCGCUGCAUUAGCUAGUUGGUAAGGUAACGGCUUACCAAGGCAACGAUGCAUGGCCGACCUGAGAGGGUGAUCGGCCACACUGGAGCUGAGACACGGUCCAGAGUCCUACGGGAGGCAGCAGUAGGGAAUCGUCCGCAAUGGGCGGAAGCCUGACGGAGCAGCGCCGCGUGAGUGAUGGAGGUCUUCGGAUCGUAAAACUCUGUUAUUAGGGAAGAACAUCUGUGUAAGUAGCUGUGCACAUCUUGACGGUACCUGGUCAGAAAGCCACGGCUAACUACGUG
rnacentral:rRNA from 1 species